GGACUUUUUUUCACAGAUAAUAACGUUUUCUCACAUCCCGUUCACUGUUCAGGUUGCUACUUCAGGCUGCGGCCGACAGGAACGUUACACAUCAUGGAUAAAAUUGUUCGUAAAAGUCCUUAUGUUUUGUAGGGGAC